rnacentral:misc_RNA from 1 species
UUUCCGUAGGUGAACCUGCGGAAGGAUCAUUAUUGUAUAACCGAGGUGCGAGGGCCGUCGCCGACCCGACAGGUCGUGCACGCCCGAGUGCCCUCACACACAUCCAUCUCACCCCUAUGUGCACCACCGCGCGGGUCCCCCUUUGGCUUGUUCGGAGGGGGGCUUACGUUUUCACACAAACUUUGUAUGCAGUGUAGAAUGUAUUUUUUGUUUUUGCGAUCACGCAAUCAAUACAACUUUCAACAACGGAUCUCUUGGCUCUC